rnacentral:rRNA from 1 species
CGGGGUGAAGGCCGGUCGGAGACUACGACCUUGAUAGGAUGCAGGUGUAAGUCCGGUAACGGAUUUAGCCGAGCAUUCCUAAUGGCCAAUCGGCUUGAUACC